AAGGUUGACCUUUAAGUAAUUUGAGUGUAUAAAUAUAAUACAAUGUUGAAGCAAUUCAAACACUGAACUGGACCCGGGGGCGGUACCCGGCGACUCCACCAUAAACACAUGAGAGGAAACCUUUAUGGAUGCUAAAAUUUUUGUAUUAGUAGUUUCAAUGUGGGGACACAAUGGAACAGAAUGGGAGUAUAUUGGAAACCAAUCAGUUUUAAAUCAAGACAUGACUCAGCAACAAUGUGAGUACAUGGCUGAUGAAGAAAAAACUUGGACAGUACAUAAUACUAACAAAUACUAUCGUAUACAAAUGCAAUGUUAUCCUAAAAAAUGUGCAGGUCAAAAGACUUGCGAAUAGUCGUGUGUUUAUGAUGGGGUCGAAAUAGGAUCGACAGGCAGAUUAGUAGAAGAGUGGAGUUGUCCGGAUCUAAGCUCGGUUAACGCGAAGAAAACUUAUAAUUGCAAACGACAAUUAUGCGCCAGAAAUGGCAUUAGCGGCCUAAUUUAGGCACGUAGGGGUUGGCAACUUACCUGGCAACAGAAAAGUUGCACU
rnacentral:tmRNA from 1 species